rnacentral:rRNA from 1 species
UACAGAGGCCUCGAGCGUUAGGCGGAAUCACUGGGCUUAAAGCGUGUGUAGGCGGACUUCUAAGUACCUUGUGAAAUCCCACGGCUUACCCGUGGAACGGCUGGGUAUACUGGUUGUCUUGAGCCACUUAGGGGCUACCGGAACAAAUGGUGGAGCGGUGAAAUGCGUAGAUAUCAUUUGGAACGCCAAUGGUGAAAACAGGUAGCUGGGGAUGUGCUGACGCUGAGACACGAAAGCCAGGGGAGCAAACAGG